rnacentral:rRNA from 1 species
AUUGAACGCUGGCGGCAGGCCUAACACAUGCAAGUCGAGCGGAUGAAGGGAGCUUGCUCCUGGAUUCAGCGGCGGACGGGUGAGUAAUGCCUAGGAAUCUGCCUGGUAGUGGGGGAUAACGUCCGGAAACGGGCGCUAAUACCGCAUACGUCCUGAGGGAGAAAGUGGGGGAUCUUCGGACCUCACGCUAUCAGAUGAGCCUAGGUCGGAUUAGCUAGUUGGUGGGGUAAAGGCCUACCAAGGCGACGAUCCGUAACUGGUCUGAGAGGAUGAUCAGUCACACUGGAACUGAGACACGGUCCAGACUCCUACGGGAUGCAGCAGUGGGGAAUAUUGGACAAUGGGCGAAAGCCUGAUCCAGCCAUGCCGCGUGUGUGAAGAAGGUCUUCGGAUUGUAAAGCUCUUUAAGUUGGGAGGAAGGGCAGUAAGUUAAUACCUUCCUGUUUUGACGUCACCCACAGAAUAAGCACCGGCUAACUUCGUG